rnacentral:lncRNA from 1 species
GAAAACUUUGUUUGACUGAAAAGGAAAUUUACGCUAGAGAAUGUACUGAAACAACAUGUAAAGAACACAACAGAUAAAGUUUGGCAAGGCUACUUGAGUAGAGAUUUGACAAACGCUCUAGCAAGGUUGAUUCUCUGCUUCUAUAUAAUUAUUAUCUGCAUCGUGUGUGUUAUAUACAUAGAAUUUGCUUCAUACCACUUGUAGAGAUUACACAAACGCUUUGGCAAGGCUACUUGACCAGCCAAAGGCUAUAGUUUUUAAACCAUGCCUACAUAAUAGCACUUUGUCUUUGUCUGGUUAAGCUGUUCAGCGGUGUCUUCAGUAGCGGUCAGAGAAGCUCCAUCUGCUGUCACUGUCAACCUAACACAACAAAAAGAAAUUUAGGUACAUCAAAGAAAGAUGGGUGUAUACAGGAAACAGAAGGCAGAAAAGGAGCAGCCCAAGGCUAAGCUAAUCGGCGUCUUGAUUUUAAUUUCUCUUGACAGGAUUGGUGAAUAAAACACGUGUGGCACCAUGGGUAUUGCAAGAUGAUUUACUAUUGAAAAGAGAAAGAGCACGAAUCAAAGAUUUAGUACAAAAAAGCAAGACGAAUUGAAAUCAAAAGCCAAGUCCAGACAUAGUACCCUGCACCUGCAGCUGAAGGGGUAGCAUUGUUCAUUUUUUAAGUCAGUGUCCAUGACUACAUACACAAAUGCAGAUGGUCAGAAAAGAAAUAAAUUGGAGACCAGCAAGUUGUGUGGAUCAGCACAAAUGUAGGAUACACAGCUUAUUUAUAUACCUCAGUUGGUGGUGGAUCAUCACAUAUGCAGAGCAUCGUAAGAGUAUAAUGAAACAAAGCUAAUGCAUCAACAGUGAGAAAGGAAGGGAGCAAACCUUGGUGAACAGACCAAGGAAGAAGCAUAUGUGGUCAGAACUAAAAAGAUCAUAUAGCCUACUCCAACAUGGUUGAAUAGAUGGAUCCCAAGAAUUUUUUUUACAAAUCUACAACAACACAGCCAGAUAUCAAGAUUCUUAGAACGAAUGCGUAAACUAAAAAACCCAAAAAGAAUCAUAUCCCAUUCCAAAAGUACUAUAUAAACAUAUCAAAACUGUGAGGACAAACAUCUAAACCAUAAGACCAAACAAACAAUCUGACCCAUAAACAAAUAAAGAACACUACUAACAUGACAAAACAUAAAAAUAGCCAUCAAGCAUGCCCAAAAUAUAACUCAUUUUAACCUCCUCAAAAGAUUGCCUAAUUGAAUGUGAAAAUAAAAUAGCUAUAUCUAUCAGAUAGCAAAGUUAAGUAGACCCGACUCAGUUGGCCACGGACAGAGAGAACUUUGAAACCAAGAUUUCUUCCCUGUCAGCUCGUGCACUACUGUAACAUGUGAGUAGGAACAGGAUGACACCAGGUUGCAAUCAAGGACCACUGAAUUAUAAGAAUAAAAAAUAAAUAAAAGAAACUACAUACUGAGAAAACCCGAACAAUUCGGCAAUCCAUUCCAAGACACAAUAAAUUCACAAGCCCAAUUAGCAUUAUACCUCACAGCUGGCACAACAAUGGUCACAAAACUUUCAUAUCCUGGCACAGAGCAUCCAACUCUCAGUCCGCACCCUGCAUGCACCCGAGCAGAACCAGGUCAAAAAAUGGAG